UAUACUUCCUCUAUAUAGCCAUCGGUGUUUUCUUUGCUGGAUGGAUAGAGGUUUCAUGCUGGAUUUUGAUUGGGGAAAGACAGAAGCAGUGAUAAGAUGAAAGUAUGUCCAAAUCUUGCUAAACCAAGACAUGAGUUUCUUUGAUACCUAUGGAAACAAUGGUGAUAUUGUCAGUCAAGUGUUGAGUGAUGUCUUACUCAUUCAGUCUGGUCAAAGUGAGAAGGUGUGUGCCACGACCUACAAAGUGACUCAAAAGGUCACUCAUGGACACAAUUUGUCUUAGGUGUGUAGUUUAAUAUGCUCACUCAUGGACACAAUUAGCUGUUGUAGUUCGAAUUUUUGAUAAUAGAGUAUUACUGCCAUGAUGUACA